CUGCAGUCGAGCGGUAGCAGAGCUAGUAGCAAUACUAGCUGCUGACGAGCGGCGGACGGGUGAGGAACACGUAGGAACCUGCCCUUCAGAGGGGGAUAACUAAGGGAAACUUUAGCUAAUACCGCAUAAUCUCUGAGGAGUAAAGCUGCCGUAAGGUGGCGCUGAAGGAGGGGCCUGCGUCCGAUUAGCUAGUUGGUAGGGUAAGAGCCUACCAAGGCGAUAAUCGGUAACUGGUCUGAGAGGACGACCAGUCACACUGGGACUGAGACACGGCCCAGACUCCUACGGGAGGCAGCAGUGGGGAAUAUUGGACAAUGGGGGCAACCCUGAUCCAGCGAUGCCGCGUGAGUGAAGAAGGCCCUCGGGUCGUAAAGCUCUUUAGGUUGGGAAGAAGGUUAUUAGGGGAUAAUCCUAGUAAUUUGACGGUACCAGCAGAAUAAGCACCGGCAAACUCUGUGCCAGCAGCCGCGGUAAUACAGAGGGUGCGAGCGUUAAUCGGAUUUACUGGGCGUAAAGGGCGCGUAGGCGGAUAUAUGAGUGUGAUGUGAAAGCCCCGGGCUUAACCUGGGAAGUGCAUCGCAAACGAUAUAUCUGGAGUAGAUGAGAGGGUGGCGGAAUUUCCGGUGUAGCGGUGAAAUGCGUAGAGAUCGGAAGGAACGUCGAUGGCGAAGGCAGCCACCUGGCAUCAUACUGACGCUGAGGCGCGAAAGCGUGGGGAGCGAACAGGAUUAGAUACCCUGGUAGUCCACGCUGUAAACGAUGAGAACUAAAUGUUAGUAGGGGAACCUAUUAGUAUUGAAGCUAACGCGAUAAGUUCUCCGCCUGGGAAGUACGGCCGCAAGGUUGAAAC
rnacentral:rRNA from 1 species